rnacentral:rRNA from 1 species
AUUGAACGCUGGCGGCAGGCCUAACACAUGCAAGUCGAACGAGUGGCGGACGGGUGAGUAAUCUCUGGGAAACUCCCUUAUGGAGGGGUAUAACCACUGGAAACUGUAGCUAAUACCGUAUACCAUCAGAUGUGCCCAGAUGGUAUUAGCUUGUUGGGGGGGUAACGGCUCACCAAGGCGACGAUCCCUAGCUGGUCUGAGAGGAUGACCAGCCACACUGGAACUGAGACACGGUCCAGACUCCUACGGGAGGCAGCAGUGGGGAAUAUUGCACAAUGGGCGCAAGCCUGAUGCAGCCAUGCCGCGUGUAUGAAGAAGGCCUUCGGGUUGUAAAGUACUUUCAGCGAGGAGGCGUUACCCGCAGAAGAAGCACCGGCUAACUCCGUGCCAGCAGCCGCGGUAAUUC